rnacentral:rRNA from 1 species
GUGGCGAACGGGUGAGUAACACGUGAGCAAUCUGCCCUUGACUCUGGGAUAACUGCGGGAAACUGUAGCUAAUACCGGAUACUUUCCUCGCUGGGCAUCCAGCGGGGAAGAAAGAAUUUCGGUCAAGGAUGAGCUCGCGGCCUAUCAGCUAGUUGGUGAGGUAAUGGCUCACCAAGGCGACGACGGGCAGCCGGCCUGAGAGGGUGACCGGCCACACUGGAACUGAGACACGGUCCAGACUCCUACGGGAGGCAGCAGUGGGGAAUAUUGCACAAUGGGCGAAAGCCUGAUGCAGCAACGCCGCGUGAGGGAUGAAGGCCUUCGGGUUGUAAACCUCUUUUAGCAGGGAAGAAGCGAAAGUGACGGUACCUGCAGAAAAAGCACCGGCUAACUACGUGCCAGCAGCCGCGGUAAUACGUAGGGUGCAAGCGUUGUCCGGAAUUAUUGGGCGUAAAGAGCUCGUAGGCGGUUUGUCACGUCUGCUGUGAAAAUCCGAGGCUCAACCUCGGACUUGCAGUGGGUACGGGCAGGCUAGAGUGCGGUAGGGGAGAAGGGAAUUCCUGGUGUAGCGGUGGAAUGCGCAGAUAUCAGGAGGAACACCAAUGGCGAAGGCACUUCUCUGGGCCGUAACUGACGCUGAGGAGCGAAAGCGUGGGGAGCGAACAGGAUUAGAUACCCUGGUAGUCCAC